rnacentral:lncRNA from 1 species
AGUAAAGCAUACAUAGCAAUAUUGUAUACAACUUCCAGAGAACAUUUUUCUGGCACUGAAACCUCCUGGGAAGAAAAUGGAAUAAGAAACAGUAUCUACAAGACAGAUGACCAUAUGGAAAACAUGGAGAAAUGCAAGACUACUGCACGAUGAAAUCUGGACAAUUUGAAUCUUACUGUAAGCUUGUUCAGAAUUUCUUC